AAAGAUUUUGGCGGUAUUUUAGUCUAUUCAGAGGAAUCUGUCCUAUAAUUGAUAAUCCACGAUUUAAUUUACUUUUAGAAAAAAUUUAUAUAUCGUCGUAGUUUGAAUAUUUUAAAAGAAUUUUAAUGUUCAAAAUUUUUUUAUAAAAUUAAAUCAGAUCAAGGUGUAGUUUAUAUAAAAGAAGAGAUGGAUUACAUUAAAUAUAUUUAAAGAUUAAUUUUUGUAAAAUUUUAUGAAUAUGGAUUUGAUAGUAAUUUUUUUAAAAUUUUAAAAAUGAUUUAAGCUCUAAAAUAUGUACACAUCGCCCG
rnacentral:rRNA from 1 species